GUUUAAAAGUAGAACUUACCAUGUGGGAGGCAGAAUAAUGGUCCCCCAGACACAGACAUGCCCAUCCCUGGAAACUGUGAAUACAUCACAUAUGUGAUCAAAGGGAGGAUGGGACUAAGUUCAGGAUACUGAAACAGGAGAGUCUGGGAUCAGCUAGAAGGCCCAGCACAAUCACAGCCAUCCCUCAGGGCAGAGGGAGCUGCGAACCAAGAUGGGGACUGUCAGAGAGAUGCAGUGUGGAGAACAGGGGAUGGGUGGAGGCCACCAGAUAAGGAAUGGGGGGCUGGAUGGGUGGGGGGAGGAUGGGGACAGAGUCCUGCCAGCACCUUGACUCCAAACUUCUGAUUCCUAAGACUGGAGGAUAAUACAUUCACAGUGUUUUAAGCCACUGAAUUUGUGGCAAUUUAUUACAGAAGCAACAGGAAAUUCAUACAGAACAUGAAGGAAGCCACUGCAGUGCCUCAGAAACAUCAAGAACAAAGUUACAAAGGCCUCCAAACACCAAAUGCUCAUUUAUUCACGUGUCUGUGACUCUGCCCUGGACAGGGCUAUGGCCCCUAAAACUCCUAUAUUGAAGCCCUAACACCCAGUGCAACAGUUCCUGAAGACAGGGCUCUUAGGAGGCAAUUAAGACUGAAGGCAGUCAUCAGAGUGGGGCCCUGGUGCGAUGAGAGGACGGGGGGCAGGGGGAGACCCCACACUCUCGUUCCCACGCUCUUGGAAAGGCAGCGAGACUGCAGACAGCCCUCCACUCCUACAAGCCAGCAAGGCCCCCACCACAUGCCAGCAUGGGGUCGCACAUGUCCGGCUACCAGAAUCUGUCUGUGAGCUCCCCCGCCUGUGGGUUCUGUUGGUGCCCCUGCACAGGUGGGCAGAGGAAGGGGAACACAGGUUCACUGCACUGCACGGAAGCUGGGGGUGCGCACGCACCUUCUAGGGGUGCAGGGCGACAUGACCCCGGGACCCCAGGAGUCCCUGUCACUGUGACUGACUCUGGGGCAAAACCUGGAAUUUCUCUGGGCCUCGUUUUGAUUUAUAAAGUCAGGUCAAUAGGAACCAUGGGGUUCACUGUCAGGCUGCGAACCCAGGAGGGUCCUGAACUCGCUCCUCCCAAUACCGAAUCGACAGCUACACACAGAACCAUUCCCUCUGAGAACCCGGCCACUUGGCGGAGCAAUGCUGGCUCUGGGAGGGCGGGGGAGGGGAGGCUGGUCGGGGCUAAACCCUGGGCUCUCCCUGAGGGGCAGGGUCUGAACCCCACACGCCCCUCCCCGUCCAGCCCCAGAACCCCGGGCGUUGGGAACGGCCAGAGCCGAGCCCACAGGGUCCACAGGAGCCGCCCUCAGAGGCCUGGACACUCACCGCCUGGACCGACUCUGUCAACCACAAGCCACUGGAGGGCAGAGCGUGGCCUGGGGCACACAGGGAGGCUGGGGGUCCUUGGGAUUAAAGCCAGGCCAUCUACACCUCCCGCUUAGUCCAGGGCACCCGGCACUCCACCUGAACCUGACAGGUGCCUGCACCCGGAGUCAUGUCUGAGGCCCCAAUUUACCACAAUGUCCCUGGUUUUCCGUCUGAGGAAACAGAUUUACGUCAGUGACCCUGGAUUUACGUCAGUGAUCCCAGUUUUACGUUAGUGACCCCAGGUUUACGUCAAUGCUGGUGGCUUUACGUCACGGAUUUACGUCAGUGACCACAGUUUUACAUCAGUGGCCCCAGCUUUACGGCCAAGGCCCCAAUUUAUGUUGGUGGCCUUGGGUUUACCUCACAGACAAUAGACUUACGUCAGUGGCCCCGGCUUACAGCUGUGGCCCUGGAUUCACCUGUAUGGCCCCAGUUUUGACUGCCACCGGGCGCAGGUCCUGGCUGUGGUGGCCGCAGGGUCUGAGGCUUGAGGUCCACAGGACUGUACACAACUGCCUCCGUGAAAAGCAGGUGUCUGAGGGUCUGGUUUGGAGUCAGCCGGAGUCUCUUGCUGACUGACACUAUCCCAUUAGGGACGCUGUCGGGUCUGGGCAAACCCUGAAUGGCAACACAGACUCAGCCCGGUGUCCACAUGUCCGCGGUUGUCUCAGCUUCGUCCACAGCACCCAUGGCCGCAGGCCCAGGUGUCCGUGAGGGGUGGGCCAGCGCAGACGCAGGGUGUUCACACACGCACAACGGGACGCUGCUCAGCCAGGGAGGAGGAUGUGCAGCCGUUGGGACGGCGUGCGGGCCCAGAGGCCUCAGGGAUUCCUCCAAGACCGAAUCCAAGCCAUCUCCCAAGACCAAGUCAAGACUGUUCUUUUGCUUGAGACCCUGAUGGCUAGAAUAGAAAAUUAACACUACGGGCCUUAGAUUUCCUUCCUCCCAGACCGCAAACCCCUGACCCUGAUUUGCCAGCACGAAGAAGCCCUGACAUUAACGACACCCACCUCUCUUUCUCUUUUUAUAUGUAUUUCUUAGGGUUUGGAAUGAAGCAAAGUUACAUGGCUCAAAAUAGUCUGGAAUUAAAACUCCCCUUCAGAUUCUCCGCAUCAUUCUAUGCAAAACAAAGAACUCUCUCACCUGAAGGGAAAAAAUGGACAUUAAGGUUGAUUAUGCCCAGCUCCCAGCCAGUCCCAGCCUCUGGCUGAUCUCCAGAAUUCCUUGCCCCAGCUGUUUAAGAGAUAACUACUCCGAACAACCUUGGAGAAGAACAGGCCCCCUUAAGACAAUAGCUUUCCACAUAUAUGCCUACAUAUACUUAACUCUUUUCUUGGGUUAGUGCAGCAGCUCACUAAUCUGACUGUUGCCCCUUCUCACCUCAUUAAAGGUGAUCUGUUCCUGUAAAGUGCCGGUCUUGUUCUUUUUCCAAACCUCACCUUCUCUUAACUCCCUUACCCUACAACCUGUGGCCCCAAGUGUUGAGGCGGCACUUGCGGGACUUGGGGUGCCGCUGAUCUCAUGGCGUGGAUGGACACGCGGGUGGCACGCGCACCUGGGACUGAGGUGCCGAGCAUGUCUGUUACCC
ensembl:lncRNA